rnacentral:rRNA from 1 species
GAUGAACGCUGGCGGCGUGCCUCAAACAUGCAAGUCGAGCGGGGCUAUGUAAUAUCGCAAGGUAGAACAUAGCCUAGCGGCGAACGGGUGAGUAACACGUGGGUAACCUGCCUGGAAGACAGGGAUAACGAUUCGAAAGGGUCGCUAAUACCUGAUAAUAUCCUUUCAUCGCAUGGUGAUAGGAAGAAAGGGGAAACCCGCUUUCAGAUGGGCCCGCGUCCCAUCAGCUAGUUGGUAAGGUAAAGGCUUACCAAGGCGACGACGGGUAGCCGGUCUGAGAGGAUGUACGGCCACACUGGGACUGAGAUACGGCCCAGACUCCUACGGGAGGCAGCAGUUGGGAAUCUUAGGCAAUGGACGAAAGUCUGACCUAGCGACGCCGCGUGAGGGAAGAAGGCCUUCGGGUUGUAAACCUCUGUCAUGGGGAAGAAGUAAGUGACGGUACCCAACGAGGAAGCCCCGCUAACUACGUG